rnacentral:rRNA from 1 species
UGGGGAAUAUUGGACAAUGGGCGCAAGCCUGAUCCAGCGACGCCGCGUGUGUGAAGAAGGCCUGCGGGUUGUAAAGCACUUUCGAUGGGAACGAAAUGUGCCGGGUUAAUACCCCGGUAAGCUGACGUUACUCAAUGAAGAAGCACCGGCUAACUCUGUGCCAGCAGCCGCGGUAAUACAGAGGGUGCGAGCGUUAAUCGGAAUUACUGGGCGUAAAGCGCACGUAGGUGGCGACGUAAGUCGGGUGUGAAAGCCCCGGGCUCAACCUGGGAAUUGCAUUCGAGACUGCAUUGCUGGAGUACGGAAGAGGAGGGCGGAAUUCCCGGUGUAGCAGUGAAAUGCGUAGAGAUCAGGAGGAACAUCCAUGGCGAAGGCAGCUACCUGGACCAACACUGACACUGAGGCACGAAAGCGUGGGGAGCAAACAGGAUUAGAUACCCCAGUAGUCCCUGAGCGGGCUGGCAAGGCGCAU